UACGGGGGGAGCAAGCGUUGUUCGGAUUUACUGGGCGUAAAGCGUGCGUAGGCGGUCCUGCAAGACAGGGGUGAAAUCCCCGGGCUUAACCUGGGAACUGCACUUGUGACUGCAGGGCUGGAGUGCGGCAGAGGGGGAUGGAAUUCCGCGUGUAGCAGUGAAAUGCGUAGAUAUGCGGAGGAACACCGAUGGCGAAGGCAAUCCCCUGGGCCUGCACUGACGCUCAUGCACGAAAGCGUGGGGAGCAAACAGG
rnacentral:rRNA from 1 species